rnacentral:lncRNA from 1 species
GAAUAUAAUAUUAAUAAUUGCAAUAACAAAUCACAGAGAAAUUCAAUAUGUUUAAUUAUUAUACCGUGGGAAUGUUAAGGGAAUCUGAGCACUUAGCAGAACGCAUUAUUCUUCUCAAGAAUGAAUGUCUGGGUUGGAUUAUCAUAGAUAACAUUCUACAAUAAUAAAAUGAAAACCAAAUAUAAGUGACAGAAAAAGAAACAGUCAAAUCAAUUAUUAAAAAAAGAACACGACAGACACAAAGAACCUCAUCAAGUUGUUGCUCCUCUGGCUAAAGAUGAGACUUAAUUUUUUUGAAGACAACAGGAUCACGGGAAACACCUAAAACGAAUGAUUGAUGAUAGUAUAGCUGAUGGUUGACACGUAACACAAACUCAAGGCCGAGUAGUUUAUAUAGAUGUUUUUGGUAUAUUUUAGGAUCAUCCUCAUCGACCUUCAUAAAUAAAUACAAUUACAUAAGUUAUAAUAUCUAUCAACCAUGCGAAAAAUAAGAUGAAAACUAAAUUAGGGAUACCUCUUGCAUAGUUUUCCUAAGAGCUUGGGCAGUAAUACCAAUAACCUGAAGACCUUCACUAUCCCAGAACACAAAUUUAGCCUUGUGACUAUCAUGAACAACUUGCACAACUACCUUGUAUAUGAUAAAAUGGAUAGAUUCAAAGACAUAUUAUAAAUGUGCCAAACAAAAAACACUAAUCCACCACAUGAAAUUUUAAAUAUGUAACCUAGUCAAUGGAGCAUCAACAUCCUGUCCGCAUGUACAUCCAUAGCUAGAACCAUCUGACUUUGGUUCCUUUGGAUAUUUGGUGCAACUCUUUUAAUACCAUCCAAAUUGGUCAUGAUUGAAUUUAGUUAUUUUUCCAAUAGUGAUGUAGUAUGUAUCUUAACACAAAUUAACAAAUUUUGUUAUAAGAAUACCAUAUUUUUGGUGACUUUCAAAAAGAUAAGAAUUUAUAUUAUUUGACAUUAUAUUUGCUACAUUGUUGGUGUCAUUGAAACAUACAUGUUUAGUUUUUUUUAAUAAGAAAAAUAUAUGUAUAAUUUAUUACAAUAUAAAGGUG